rnacentral:pre_miRNA from 1 species
UGGGUACUCCCUCCGUUCAGAAUUACUUGUCAUCAAAAUGAAUGUAUGUAGAACUAAAAUACAUCUAGAUACAUCCAUUUCAAUGACAAGUAUUUCCGAACGGAGGGAGUAUGAG